rnacentral:rRNA from 7 species
GUGAGACAGGUGCUGCAUGGCUGUCGUCAGCUCGUGUUGUGAAAUGUUGGGUUAAGUCCCGCAACGAGCGCAACCCUUAUCCUUUGUUGCCAGCGGUCCGGCCGGGAACUCAAAGGAGACUGCCAGUGAUAAACUGGAGGAAGGUGGGGAUGACGUCAAGUCAUCAUGGCCCUUACGACCAGGGCUACACACGUGCUACAAUGGCGCAUACAAAGAGAAGCGACCUCGCGAGAGCAAGCGGACCUCAUAAAGUGCGUCGUAGUCCGGAUUGGAGUCUGCAACUCGACUCCAUGAAGUCGGAAUCGCUAGUAAUCGUGGAUCAGAAUGCCACGGUGAAUACGUUCCCGGGCCUUGUACACACCGCCCGUCACACCAUGGGAGUGGGUUGCAAAAGAAGUAGGUAGCUUAACCUUCGGGAGGGCGCUUACCACUUUGUGAUUCAUGACUGGGGUGAAGUCGUAACAAGGUAACCGUAGGGGAACCUGCGGUUGGAUCACCUCCUUACCUUAAAGAA